UACAGAGGGUGCAAGCGUUGUCCGGAAUCACUGGGCGUAAAGGGCGCGUAGGUGGCCUGAUAAGUAGGAGGUGAAAUCCUGGGGCUUAACCUCAGGGCUACCUUCUAGACUGUCCGGCUCGAGCACAGUAGAGGCAGGUGGAAUUCCCGGUGUAGCGGUGGAAUGCGUAGAGAUCGGGAAGAACAUCGGUGGCGAAGGCAGCCUGCUGGGCUGUUGCUGACACUGAGGCGCGACAGCGUGGGGAGCAAACAGG
rnacentral:rRNA from 1 species